UACUAGCGGUCCAAGUCGCAGCCAUCUUUAUUGGGUAUAAAACAUCCGUAGCUUGCUUAAUAAGUUCCUUGUGAAAUCCUAUGUCUCAAGCAUGGGGCGUGCAAGGAGUACUGUUGAGCUAGAGACUGGAAGGCGUAGGAAGUACGACUAAAGUAGCGGUAAAAUGCUUUAAUCUUGGUCGGACUCACAAUAGCGAAGGCAUCCUACGAGGACAGUUCUGACAGUAAGGGAUGAAAGCUAGGGUCGCGAAAGGGAUUAGAUACCCUCGUA
rnacentral:rRNA from 1 species